UGCAGGAUGGAGCAGCGGCAGCUCGUCUGGCUCAUAACCAGGAGAUCCCGGGUUCGAAUCCCGGUCCUGCACCCA
rnacentral:tRNA from 1 species